CAGCCCGGUAAUUCCAGCUCCAAUAGCGUAUAUUAAAGUUGUUGCAGUUAAAAAGCUCGUAGUUGAAUUUCGGGGUUAGUAGGUUGGUCAUGCCUCUGGUAUGUACUGGUCUCACUGAUUCCUCCUUCCUGAUGAACCUUAAUGCCAUUAAUUUGGUGUUUUGGGGAAUUUGGACUGUUACUUUGAAAAAAUUAGAGUGUUUAAAGCAAGCUAACGCUUGAAUACAUUAGCAUGGAAUAAUGAAAUAGGACGUUCGAUCCUAUUUUGUUGGUUUCUAGGAUUGACGUAAUGAUUAAUAGGGAUAGUUGGGGGAAUUAGUAUUCAAUUGUCAGAGGUGAAAUUCUUGGAUUUAUUGAAGACUAACUACUGCGAAAGCAUUUGCCAAGGAUGUUUUCAUUAAUCAAGAACGAAAGUUAGGGGAUCGAAGACGAUCAGAUACCGUCGUAGUCUUAACCAUAAACUAUGCCGACUAGGGAUCGGAUGAUGUUAAUUUUUUAAUGACUCAUUCGGCGCCUUACG
rnacentral:misc_RNA from 1 species